UCUGGAAAGUUGAAUCAAAGAAGGUAAUAAUCCUGUAGUUGAAAAUAUAUUCUCUCUUGAGUGGAUCCUGAGUACGACGGAGCACGUGAAAUUCCGUCGGAAUCUGGGAGGACCAUCUCCUAAGGCUAAAUACUCUCUAGUGACCGAUAGUGAACCAGUACCGUGAGGGAAAGGUGAAAAGUACCCCGGAAGGGGAGUGAAAGAGAACUUGAAACCGUGUGCUUACAAGUAGUCAGAGCCCGUUAAUGGGUGAUGGCGUGCCUUUUGUAGAAUGAACCGGCGAGUUACGAUCUGAUGCAAGGUUAAGCAGCAAAUGUGGAGCCGUAGCGAAAGCGAGUCUGAAUAGGGCGUUGAGUAUUUGGUCGUAGACCCGAAACCAGGUGAUCUACCCUUGGUCAGGUUGAAGUUCAGGUAACACUGAAUGGAGGACCGAACCGACUUACGUUGAAAAGUGAGCGGAUGAACUGAGGGUAGCGGAGAAAUUCCAAUCGAACUUGGAGAUAGCUGGUUCUCUCCGAAAUAGCUUUAGGGCUAGCCUCAAGUGAUGAUUAUUGGAGGUAGAGCACUGUUUGGACGAGGGGCCCCUCUCGGGUUACCGAAUUCAGACAAACUCCGAAUGCCAAUUAAUUUAACUUGGGAGUCAGAACAUGGGUGAUAAGGUCCGUGUUCGAAAGGGAAACAGCCCAGACCACCAGCUAAGGUCCCAAAAUAUAUGUUAAGUGGAAAAGGAUGUGGCGUUGCCCAGACAACUAGGAUGUUGGCUUAGAAGCAGCCAUCAUUUAAAGAGUGCGUAAUAGCUCACUAGUCGAGUGACACUGCGCCGAAAAUGUACCGGGGCUAAACAUAUUACCGAAGCUGUGGAUUGUCCUUUGGACAAUGGUAGGAGAGCGUUCUAAGGGCGUCGAAGCAUGAUCGCAAGGACAUGUGGAGCGCUUAGAAGUGAGAAUGCCGGUGUGAGUAGCGAAAGACGGGUGAGAAUCCCGUCCACCGAUUGACUAAGGUUUCCAGAGGAAGGCUCGUCCGCUCUGGGUUAGUCGGGUCCUAAGCUGAGGCCGACAGGCGUAGGCGAUGGAUAACAGGUUGAUAUUCCUGUACCACCUAGUAUCGUUUUAAUCGAUGGGGGGACGCAGUAGGAUAGGCGAAGCG
rnacentral:rRNA from 1 species